GUCACCCUCGCCUUCCUUCUCUUUUUAUCCUUUUCCUUGAGCAUACCUCCGACCGGGUUGUUUGAUGGAUCUUGGGUUGCUGGGAUGCUGUGCUCCGUGGCCAUGAGCCAAGAUAAGUUUCCUCUUCUGAGUUCCCUCGACCCCCUUUUUAGGCUUUGAUAUUUCCCCCCUUCUCCUUUCGUUGCGGGGCGGUUGCACUGCCACCCAUUGGACUACUUCGGUCGGGCUCCUCGUCUCCUAUCCCUUACCCUCAGACAUCUUCAGGGAGUUGCGACGCUUCCCGCGCGGCGCAAGAGGUCGUCGAGGCCAAGACCGAGCUGCUUCAGACGCAACUUUCUGAAGCCGAUGGUCGUGUCAUUGAUAAGCCUUGGGGCCGAUCUAGAGAAACUGCGCAUCGCCUGGGCCAACUUCUGGACUACAUUGGGGCACGUGGCACUUCCCUGGUCGAGCAAUUAGACAACGCACCCGAGUCCCAUCUGGGAUAUCAUCGACUUUGGUGUUCACCGGGGAGCCGCGAUGACGUUGUUGAUGGGGGAGAUUUGCUCCGACCGCCGUCUUUCGGAUAUCAUCAGCCUUCCCCUGUCCCUUUCAGAUGAGGGGUUGGAAGACCUACUAGAAGGUUACGACGAGGUGUCCAGUCAUGUUGUGCUUAGGGUGUCGGCUCAUGACAUCGUGCGUGAUGCGCGUUGAUCGUGAUUUAUCGUGCCUCGGUGCUGCUUCCCUAAAGUAAUAAAGUGGACUUUGCUC